CUACGGGAGGCUGCAGUGGGGAAUAUUGGACAAUGGGCGCAAGCCUGAUCCAGCCAUUCCGCGUGAGUGAAGAAGGCCUUCGGGUUGUAAAGCUCUUUCGCAAGGGAAGAAAACUUAUCCUCUAACAUAGGGUGAGGUUGACGGUACCUUGAUAAGAAGCACCGGCUAACUACGUGCCAGCAGCCGCGGUAAUACGUAGGGUGCGAGCGUUAAUCGGAAUUACUGGGCGUAAAGCGUGCGCAGGCUGUUUUGUAAGUCAGGUGUGAAAUCCCCGAGCUCAACUUGGGAACUGCGUUUGAACUACAAGACUAGAAUAUGUCAGAGGGGGGUAGAAUUCCAUGUGUAGCAGUGAAAUGCGUAGAGAUGUGGAGGAAUACCAAUGGCGAAGGCAGCCCCCUGGGAUAAUAUUGACGCUCAUGCACGAAAGCGUGGGGAGCAAACAGGAUUAGAUACCCGCGUAGUC
rnacentral:rRNA from 1 species